CACACGAUGCUCCCCCGUCACCACACGAUCCCUCCCUCCGCCAUCAUUUUGGAUGUCAAUAUUUGACUUCUAGGUCUAUGUACAUGUUCAUGCUCGAAGAUGGAGACAAGAAAGGUGACAACAAUUUGAUACUGUUUCCUCCAGCUGACUGCAGGAAUUUCAUUGACAAACCAGAUGCAAGACAUAGCUGCUUCACUGUUAAUGGAAUUUGAGAAGCGGGUUCUUCAAGAAGAGUCUUCAGGAACAAUUUUGAAGACACCUUUAGAUUCUCAAGCGAGUCUCCCCUCACACGUAGGUGAUGGCUCGUUGUUCCCUUGCAAAUCUGUGUUUUGCAAGGUUUAUAUUUUGUGAAAGCUUGUUUGCUUUCGAUGGAAAUCCCUGCACAUGUAGGUGACAGUCAUAGGAAUGAAGAGACUGAGUCGGAGAGCAAGACAAACAGACUUGUGAAGAUCAAUCCCUUCAGGGGAAGCUGGGGACUACAGUUUCUUGAACUCGAGUUAUCUAAUCCAACCGUUGUUGUGCUCGAAAUCUGUGUCUCUGUCCAGCUGGAAAUCACAGCCGAGGAAGAUGAUGAAUCUUCGACCGUCCAAGAUUCUCCAGAAUACAAGUACCCGAAAACUAGAAUCGAUUGAGACUAUUCCGCUAGGGUACUGAUCCCAUUGGAGCAUUUUAAGUUAUCUGUUUUUGAUGGUUCCUCCUUCAAAAAAGGAUUCUCAGCCUGAUAGAAGCCUGAACUUCUCAGAUAAGGACACGAAGGCCGAGAUAGAUGCACUGAUCAAGAAUCUCAUUUCCAAGAUAAAGCCAGGUGGCAGCCAGGGAGGAACAGCUCGGGAGAAUUGAAUAUCAAGAAAGCUAUCCAGGUGGCCCUCCAGACAUUGGUGAUGGAUAUUCUACUUCUUGAUCCACUGAGUUUUGGUUUCAGCAUGGUCAGAGACGAUGGAGGUUAUGAUCCGCAAUAACACAAGCGAAGCAAUCAGAGACGUAGCAGGACAGAACUGCGUUGAAGGGGCUGAUGCCAUUGUCCUUGCGGCUGGUGCAAUGAGUGAGAUCGGAAUGGAAAUUCCGGUAUUGGAAGGCAUUGGAAGAGAUACGGCACAGUUUCUCGAUGUAUUUCCAAGUUCC